GUGGGGAAUCUUGCGCAAUGGGCGAAAGCCUGACGCAGCCAUGCCGCGUGAAUGAUGAAGGUCUUAGGAUUGUAAAAUUCUUUCACCGGGGACGAUAAUGACGGUACCCGGAGAAGAAGCCCCGGCUAACUUCGUGCCAGCAGCCGCGGUAAUACGAAGGGGGCUAGCGUUGCUCGGAAUUACUGGGCGUAAAGGGCGCGUAGGCGGACAGUUUAGUCAGAGGUGAAAGCCCAGGGCUCAACCUUGGAAUGGCCUUUGAUACUGGCUGUCUUGAGUACGGGAGAGGUGAGUGGAACUCCGAGUGUAGAGGUGAAAUUCGUAGAUAUUCGGAAGAACACCAGUGGCGAAGGCGACUCACUGGCCCGUUACUGACGCUGAGGCGCGAAAGCGUGGGGAGCAAACAGGAUUAGAAACCCCAGUAGUCC
rnacentral:rRNA from 1 species